rnacentral:rRNA from 1 species
AUUGAACGCUGGCGGCAGGCCUAACACAUGCAAGUCGAACGAGUGGCGGACGGGUGAGUAAUGUCUGGGAAACUGCCCGAUGGAGGGGGAUAACUACUGGAAACGGUAGCUAAUACCGCAUACCAUCGGAUGUGCCCAGACGGGAUUAGCUAGUAGGUGGGGUAAAGGCUCACCUGGGCGACGAUCCCUAGCUGGUCUGAGAGGAUGACCGGCAAAACUGGACUUGGACCACGGUCCAGACUCUUACGGGAGGCAGCAGUGGGGAAUAUUGCACAAUGGGGGCAAGCCUGAUGCAGCCAGGCCGCGGGUGUGAAGAAGGCCUCCGGGUGGUAAAGCACUUUCAGCGGGGAGGCGUUACCCGCAGAAGAAGCACCGGCUAACUCCGUGCCAGCAGCCGCGGUAAUAC